rnacentral:rRNA from 1 species
UGAGGGAUAUUGGUCAAUGGGCGCAAGCCUGAACCAGCGACGCCGCGUGGGUGAAGAAGGUCUUCGGAUCGUAAAGCCCUUUUCCCACUGAAGAGGAAGGACGGUAGGUGGGGAAGAAGUCUCGGCUAACUACGUGCCAGCAGCCGCGGUAAAACGUAGGAGACAAGCGUUAUCCGGAGUUACUGGGCGUAAAGGGCGUGCAGGUGGCAUCUUAAGUCUGUUGUGAAAGCGCCUGGCUUAACCGGGCGAGGCCAAUGGAGACUGAGAGGCUGGAGGACGGCGGAGGGGUGUGGAAUUCCGGGUGUAGUGGUGAAAUGCGUAGAGAUCCGGAGGAACACCAGAGGCGAAGGCGGCACUCUAAGCCGUACCUGACACUGAGACGCGACAGCACGGGGAGCAAACGGGAUUAGAAACCCCGGUAGUCCGUGCCGUAAACGAUGCCAGCUAGACGUUCGGUCUCCGAGAGGGGACUGGGUGUCGCAGCUAACGCGAUAAGCUGGCCGCCUGGGGAGUACGGUCGCAAGGCUAAAACUUAAAUGAAUUGACGGGGUCAUAGCUGUUUCCU